CAUAAUGCAACUAGCACAAUCUAAUAAUCACACGCCGAGCACCGAGACGAGUCCUAUGAGGACGAAGUGACUGACACCACGCUUCCAGGAAAAGCCACUAAGCUUCAGCUUAAGAAAAACCGUACCGCAAACCGACACAGGUAGGCAGGGUGAGAAUCCCAAGGCGGUUGAGAGAACUCGGGUGAAGGAACUAGGCAAAAUGGCACCGUAACUUCGGGAGAAGGUGCGCCCUUUGGUGUGGUCACGUGCGUGACUGAGCAUCGAAGGGUCGCAGUAACCUGGCCGCUGCGACUGUUUAUCAAAAACACAGCACUCUGCAAACACGAAAGUGGACGUAUAGGGUGUGACGCCUGCCCGGUGCUGGAAGGUUAAUUGAUGGGGUCAGCCGCAAGGCGAAGCUCUUGAUCGAAGCCCCAGUAAACGGCGGCCGUAACAAUAACGGUCCUAAGGUAGCGAAAUUCCUUGUCGGGUAAGUUCCGACCUGCACGAAUGGCGUAACGACAGCGGCGCUGUCUCCACCCGAGACUCAGUGAAAUUGAAAUCGCUGUGAAGAUGCAGCGUUCCCGCGGCAAGACGGAAAGACCCCGUGAACCUUUACUAUAGCUUUACACUGAACGUUGAGUUCUUCUGUGUAGGAUAGGUGGGAGGCUAUGAAACCAGGACGCUAGUUCUGGUGGAGCCAUCCUUGAAAUACCACCCUGAAGUGCUUGACGUUCUAACCUAGGCCCGUAAUCCGGGUCAGGGACCGUGUAUGGUGGGUAGUUUGACUGGGGCGGUCUCCUCCCAAAGAGUAACGGAGGAGCACGAAGGUACGCUCAGCGCGGUCGGACAUCGCGCACUGUGUGCAAAGGCAUAAGCGUGCUUGACUGCGAGAUCGACGGAUCAAGCAGGUACGAAAGUAGGUCUUAGUGAUCCGGUGUUCUGUAUGGAAGGGCCAUCGCUCAACGGAUAAAAGGUACUCCGGGGAUAACAGGCUGAUACCGCCCAAGAGUUCAUAUCGACGGCGGUGUUUGGCACCUCGAUGUCGGCUCAUCACAUCCUGGGGCUGUAGCCGGUCCCAAGGGUAUGGCUGUUCGCCAUUUAAAGUGGUACGCGAGCUGGGUUCAGAACGUCGUGAGACAGUUCGGUCCCUAUCUGUCGUGGGCGUUGGAGAUUUGAGGGGGGCUGCUCCUAGUACGAGAGGACCGGAGUGGACGUUCCGCUGGUGUUCGGGUUGUCAUGCCCAUGGCAUUGCCCGGUAGCUACGAACGGAAGUGAUAACCGCUGAAAGCAUCUAAGCGGGAAGCACGCCCCAAGAUGAGAUCUCCCGAGAGCUUGACUCUCCUAAAGGCACCAUCAAGACUAGGUGGUUGAUAGGUCAGGUGUGGAAGCGCAGCAAUGCGUUGAGCUAACUGAUACUAAUGAGCC
rnacentral:rRNA from 1 species